rnacentral:rRNA from 1 species
UGCCAGCCGCCGCGGUAACACGUAGGGCGCAAGCGUUGUCCGGAUUUAUUGGGCGUAAAGAGCUCGUAGGCGGUUUCGUAAGUCGGGUGUGAAAACUCAGGGCUCAACUCUGAGACGCCACCCGAUACUGCGAUGACUUGAGUCCGGUAGAGGAGUAGGGAAUUCCUGGUGUAGCGGUGAAAUGCGCAGAUAUCAGGAGGAACACCAGUAGCGAAGGCGCUACUCUGGGCCGGUACUGACGCUGAGGAGCGAAAGCAUGGGGAGCGAACAGGAUUAGAUA